ensembl:lncRNA
GUUUUAGCCUUGAAUGUCUUAACAUCCUGCACAGGUUGCGAGAGACAACAAUUUAGGAUUCGAACAGACAUGGACUCCCCUCCUGAUCAUGUACCAAGGCCUCAAAGUGCAGUGAUAAUUUCAUCAGUUGCUGUGGUUAAUUUCAUUUGGUGGAUGGUUUUACUUGCAGCCAUUGGCUUUGGGGCCAUGCAUUUGCAGAGUUGUCCCGCUGAACCUUAUAUUCCCAUCUAUAUGAUCGUUCUGGGAUCAGCCAGUCUGGUCUCUCUGACUCUGACUUACACCAAAAGCAUUUGGGUGGAUGGCCCUGUGCUUCUGGUGACCACCACAUGUUUGGGUUUGCUGUAUCUCUUUGACUUCUGUUGGUUUAUUGCAGGCUCAGUGUGGGUAUACAGCGUCUAUCCACCCGACUACUCCACUGAAUCUCCUCAUUUCUGCUAUAAACCAUUCUACAUCUUUGCCUUUGUUAUCAC